rnacentral:rRNA from 1 species
GACGAACCGUGCGAACGUUGUUCGGAAUCACUGGGCUUAAAAGGCGCGUAGGCGGGCUGCCGCGUCCGGGGUGAAAUCCUCCCGCUCAACGGGAGAACGGCCUCGGAUACGGGCGGCCUCGAGGGGGGUAGGGGCAUCUGGAACUGUGAGUGGAGCGGUGAAAUGCGUUGAUAUUCACAGGAACUCCGGUGGCGAAGGCGAGGUGCUGGACCCCAUCUGACGCUGAGGCGCGAAAGCCAGGGGAGCGAACGGG